UUAAGGGAUAAUUACGUCUCUUUUUUUUCACCUUUGUGGUAUCGAGAGUUUCCAGGUUAGCUCGGGUUGGAGGCCGUCAGAGAUAUUAUCACACUGUCAAGCUAACGAUAUUGGUGUAGUGAUUUCAAGUACUUUGAGCCUAUGGCAUGUAUAGGAGUUUAAAUAUUAAAGUAUGUGAUAUGGCUUUAACCAUAUGUGUUGGCCUAUUUUGAUUAUGGGGUUGUAAAUCUAUUUUAAUUAUGCAUGCAUGUGCUAUGGUAUUAUGUGAUGAGUUUAUAAUGAUUAUAGUAUGAAUGUGGUAAA